UUCUCCACUCGAGACAAUGCGAAUAAUACGCCUGAAUGUUACCAUCCGUGAAUAGCGAGGUCAUGAGUGCCACGGCCGAGCUUGGAGCCGAGUUGUCAUCUGCACUCACGCCUUCCUCGCCACCCGAUUGGCACGGUGGGCUACGUACGGGGCGAAAGAAGUUCAACAUUCGUACAGCCGUGUCCACGCCGAGUCCACGUGUUAUUCAAAUACCGGAUUUUUUUUAAAAGACGGAAAUGUUUGUUUUUUUAUAAAUAAAAAAAUCGGACCUUUAAGGAGCUGGCACACGCAAAUAUAAAGCAUUGCCGCCUCAACGUUUGAAAACAGAAAAAUAAUCAUUUUCAAUUGCAUCGGUGGGAAUGCGAGCUCUAAGGGAUUAUUAAACAAAGGCGGCGUUUCACUCUCGUUCUAAUUAGCCACAGCUUUUGCCAACAGUUGCAGCCAAAUUGAGCGAGAAUACAGCGUUCGCCACGUCCGGGAGCCGCCUCUGUUGCUGCAGGUGCGAUGCUGUCACUGGCGCCGAACGCGAAUUAAUGCGCAGCGUAGACGCGUGUUGAACGUGACGUGACGUUUUCAACUCGCCGCACACCGCGUGCCCAUUGCACGCAGCUGGAAAGAGCUCUGCUCGACCUCGAAACUUCAACGUUGCUGCAUUCAGACCAACAUCUGGACGGCGCUGCCUGGGACUCGUUGAUUCCGGAUAAGCGGUGUGCGACGUGGCGAUGCGGGCGGCACGGGGGACGGCGUCACGGUGCGCGUGCCCCCCCGCUCACCCGGCCGAACUCCACGCGAUGUGACCGUCCGCGGCCUCGUGCACAAUGCAAGUUACAAGCAGGACCGUUUCCCACCACGCUUGCUGUCUGCUGCGGUGACACCAGCUGGGCCCACCUGCUGCACAGAAAGUCGCUCCGGCGCCUCGGGCAAGUUUCGUGAUUGGCUCUCCUGCUUCUCCUUCAGGCCACGGCAUCAUCCUCAUCGCAUUCCUCUACCCAGUCCGAAACCCUUUUCUGAAGCGCAGUCUCAGAGCCAUCGCGUCAGCGCCCGCAAACGCGUCCACACCGGCAGGGAACCGCAGGGAGCCGUCGACGGGGGGGGGUUCCUUCUUUCUGUGAAGGUACAAAAUCUCGUGUCGGUGCAGACAGACGCAGGCAGGAGCUGCCCGCAUGGCACUGAAGGGCACACGAACCGGAGUGUUGCUGUUUCUGUUGACAGCCGCCGAGAUUAAAGGGGUUUUCUCAGGGCUCUGGUGGCUUCCGAGUUCCCGCACGAGGUUACGUUAAUGACCCUAUAACAACAUUAAUGUAAUUCAUGAUGCCGCCUAUCAAAUUCGCGUCUUCACAAAACAUUUUUUCGGUACAUUCUUUCGUACGUGACUCGUUGGCCACGCGGCCUUCUUGGGAAAUGCCUUUCAUGAGCAGUAUUGGUUCAAAUGCAAGAGCAUUCUGAACCGGUUUCAGCGGUCAGGCUUGCUUGACCGCUGUCAGCCAGCUUCCUGGUGAACUGUCCCCAUGUUUAUAGGCACGGACCAUUUCUGUACGUAAGGUUCUAAUUGCCGAUUUGUUUUACGUAAUGCGGACUGCUCGAUAACAGUCGUUGUACCUGUGGCAAACAAAGCCGAACAAUUGCCUUUGCAGGCGAAUUCCAAAGGAAAUGUAAAGACGUUGUCAAACAGAACCACUCCCCCUUGUCCUCAGUGCAUCCUAUUGUUGAUUUUAAGCCAAGGAGCGACUUGUAAAAAAAACCUUUUUUUUAUUAAGCAACGAUUUUGUCGAAGCCUUUUAAAGCAGGCAUGAAACUGUAAAGGGGAUUAAAAAAAAAAACAUAAUUGUG